AGAUAGCCAUUUUUAAAGCGCCUGGGAGCGAGGAUGACCCGAUUGCUACCCGAAGAGUCCUCGAUCGGCUUAGUCGGCAUUGCUCGUAAACGAACCGUGCUUCGGAAGAACGUCUCAUAUUACAUCACGUCUCAAACUUUCUGCUGGCUGUCGUAAAUAUGGUUUGGGAAACUUGUUUUAGCGUAAAAAUUUAAUAUAUAUCCGUGUGGAAUAGUCCAAAUAUAGAUAUAAAUGGGAUAUGUGGUUAAGCUGUGGUUAAGCUGUGUUCAUGUGGUCUAUUAAAGAAUGGUUUUAAAGAAAUUGUCGGUUGAUGCCCACAUCACCUGCUUGGGUUGAAGUGAACCAAGCCAAAAAUGAAUAAAAAUGGGCAAAUAUUCUGUUGGCAGCCAUUGAGUUAGAAACACACUAGGAAUCAUCAGUCUUCGGCUGGCAAGGGAAAUAAAGACAAACAAUUUGAUCUGGCUAAAUGAUAAAAGAAUGUGUAAGGCAGAACAGCAAAGAUAGUGAAAAGGAA